GUAUGCAUAACACAUGCAAGUCGAACGAAAAAGGUCUUCGGGCCUUUUUAGUGGCAAACGGGCGAGUAACACAUAUUUAACUUGCUCAUCCGAGGAGAAUAGCAGCCCGAAAGGGCUAUUAAUACGCCAUAGUUUUAAAUUAGUGAAUUAAUUUAAAUUAAAGGAGGCUGCCGAAAGGUGGCCUCGCGGAUGAAUAGGAAUAUGUCCUAUUAGGUCGUUGGAGAGGUAAUGGCUCACCAAGCCGAUGAUGGGUAGCUGGACUGAGAGGUUGAACAGCCGCAAUGGGAUUGAGAAAUGGCCCAUAUUCCUACGGGAAGCAGCAGUGAGGAAUUUUUCACAAUGGACGAAAGUCUGAUGGAGCAAUACCACGUGAACGAUGAAGGUCUUCUGAUUGUAAAGUUCUUUUAUUUAGGAAAAAAAGCGCGGCAGGAAAUGGCCGCGCCUUGAUUGUACUAAUUGAAUAAGUGACAGCUAACUAUGUGCCAGCAGCUGCGGUAAAACAUAGGUCACGAGCAUUAUCCGGAUUUAUUGGGCGUAAAGGAAGCGUAGGCUGAAAUGUGUAUUCAUUGUUAAAAAUAUUUGCUUAACAAGUGUUCGCGGUGAAGAUUACAUUUCUAGAAUUAGUUAGAGGGUACUGGAAUUCAAUGUGUAGUGGUGGAAUACGUAGAUAUAUUGAGGAACACCAGAGGCUAAGGCGAGUGCCUGGAACAUAAUUGACGCUGAGGCUUGAAAGCGUGGGUAGCAAAUGGGAUUAGAUACCCCAGUAGUCCACGCCGUAAACGAUGGGUAUUAGUCAUUUGGAUUUAAGACUGAGUGAUGUAGCUAACGCGUUAAAUACCCCGCCUGGGUAGUAUAUAUGCAAAUAUGAAACUCAAAGAAAUUGACGGGGACCUGAACAAGUGGUGGA
rnacentral:rRNA from 1 species